UACGUAGGGUGCAAGCGUUAAUCGGAAUUACUGGGCGUAAAGCGUGCGCAGGCGGCUUUGCAAGACAGAUGUGAAAGCCCCGGGCUUAACUUGGGAAUUGCGCUCGAAACUACGUGGCUGGAGUGUGGCAGAGGAAGGUGGAAUUCCACGUGUAGCGGUGAAAUGCGUAGAGAUGUGGAGGAACACCAAUGGCGAAGGCAGCCUUCUGGGCCAACACUGACGCUCAUGCCCGAAAGCGUGGGGAGCAAACAGG
rnacentral:rRNA from 1 species